rnacentral:rRNA from 1 species
UGCAGUCGAGCGGACAGAAGGGAGCUUGCUCCCGGAUGUUAGCGGCGGACGGGUGAGUAACACGUGGGUAACCUGCCUGUAAGACUGGGAUAACUCCGGGAAACCGGAGCUAAUACCGGAUAGUUCCUUGAACCGCAUGGUUCAAGGAUGAAAGACGGUUUCGGCUGUCACUUACAGAUGGACCCGCGGCGCAUUAGCUAGUUGGUGAGGUAACGGCUCACCAAGGCGACGAUGCGUAGCCGACCUGAGAGGGUGAUCGGCCACACUGGGACUGAGACACGGCCCAGACUCCUACGGGAGGCAGCAGUAGGGAAUCUUCCGCAAUGGACGAAAGUCUGACGGAGCAACGCCGCGUGAGUGAUGAAGGUUUUCGGAUCGUAAAGCUCUGUUGUUAGGGAAGAACAAGUGCAAGAGUAACUGCUUGCACCUUGACGGUACCUAACCAGAAAGCCACGGCUAACUACGUGCCAGCAGCCGCGGUAAUACGUAGGUGGCAAGCGUUGUCCGGAAUUAUUGGGCGUAAAGGGCUCGCAGGCGGUUUCUUAAGUCUGAUGUGAAAGCCCCCGGCUCAACCGGGGAGGGUCAUUGGAAACUGGGAAACUUGAGUGCAGAAGAGGAGAGUGGAAUUCCACGUGUAGCGGUGAAAUGCGUAGAGAUGUGGAGGAACACCAGUGGCGAAGGCGACUCUCUGGUCUGUAACUGACGCUGAGGAGCGAAAGCGUGGGGAGCGAACAGGAUUAGAUACCCUGGUAGUCCACGCCGUAAACGAUGAGUGCUAAGUGUUAGGGGGUUUCCGCCCCUUAGUGCUGCAGCUAACGCAUUAAGCACUCCGCCUGGGGAGUACGGUCGCAAGACUGAAACUCAAAGGAAUUGA